AGAGUUUGAUCCUGGCUCAGAUUGAACGCUGGCGGCAUGCCUUACACAUGCAAGUCGAACGGUAACAGGUUAAGCUGACGAGUGGCGAACGGGUGAGUAAUAUAUCGGAACGUGCCCAGUUGUGGGGGAUAACUGCUCGAAAGAGCAGCUAAUACCGCAUACGACCUGAGGGUGAAAGCGGGGGAUCGCAAGACCUCGCGCAAUUGGAGCGGCCGAUAUCAGAUUAGGUAGUUGGUGGGGUAAAGGCCCACCAAGCCAACGAUCUGUAGCUGGUCUGAGAGGACGACCAGCCACACUGGGACUGAGACACGGCCCAGACUCCUACGGGAGGCAGCAGUGGGGAAUUUUGGACAAUGGACGCAAGUCUGAUCCAGCCAUGCCGCGUGCGGGAAGAAGGCCUUCGGGUUGUAAACCGCUUUUGUCAGGGAAGAAAAGGGCGACUCUAAUACAGUUGCCUCAUGACGGUACCUGAAGAAUAAGCACCGGCUAACUACGUGCCAGCAGCCGCGGUAAUACGUAGGGUGCAAGCGUUAAUCGGAAUUACUGGGCGUAAAGCGUGCGCAGGCGGUUAUGCAAGACAGAGGUGAAAUCCCCGGGCUCAACCUGGGAACUGCCUUUGUGACUGCAUGACUAGAGUACGGUAGAGGGGGAUGGAAUUCCGCGUGUAGCAGUGAAAUGCGUAGAUAUGCGGAGGAACACCGAUGGCGAAGGCAAUCCCCUGGACCUGUACUGACGCUCAUGCACGAAAGC
rnacentral:rRNA from 1 species